AACGAACGCUGGCGGCAGGCCUAACACAUGCAAGUCGAGCGAGGACUUCGGUCCUAGCGGCGGACGGGUGAGUAACGCGUGGGAACGUGCCCUUUGCUACGGAAUAGCCCCGGGAAACUGGGAGUAAUACCGUAUGUUCCCUUCGGGGGAAAGAUUUAUCGGCAAAGGAUCGGCCCGCGUUGGAUUAGGUAGUUGGUGGGGUAAUGGCCUACCAAGCCGACGAUCCAUAGCUGGUUUGAGAGGAUGAUCAGCCACACUGGGACUGAGACACGGCCCAGACUCCUACGGGAGGCAGCAGAGGGGAAUCUUAGACCAUGGGCGCAAGCCUGAUGUAGCCAUGACGCGUGAGCGAUGAAGGCCUUAGGGUUGUAAAGCUAUUUCAGUGGGGAAGAUAAUGACGGUACCCACAGAAGAAGCCCCGGCUAACUCCGUGCCAGCCGCCGCAGUAAGAC
rnacentral:rRNA from 1 species